rnacentral:rRNA from 1 species
CCUACGGGUGGCAGCAGUGAGGAAUAUUGGUCAAUGGGCGCGAGCCUGAACCAGCCAAGUAGCGUGAAGGAUGACUGCCCCACGGGUUGUAAACUUCUUUUGUCAAGGAAUAAAGUCAGGCACGUGUGCCUUUUUGUAGGUACUUGAUGAAUAAGGAUCGGCUAACUCCGUGCCAGCAGCCGCGGUAAUACGGAGGAUUCGAGCGUUAUCCGGAUUUAUUGGGUUUAAAGGGAGCGUAGGUGGGUUGUUAAGUCAGUUGUGAAAGGUUGCGGCUCAACCCUAAAAGUGCAAUUGAUACUGGCAGCCUUGAGAUCAGUUGAGGUAGGCGGAAUUCGUGGUGUAGCGGUGAAAUGCUUAGAUAUCGCGCAGAACUCCGAUUGCGAAGGCAGCAUACUAGCGUGCAACUGACAUUGAUGCACGAAAGCGUGGGUAUCAAACAGGAUUAGAUACCCCGGUAGUC